rnacentral:tRNA from 1 species
UCCCUGGUGGCUCAGACAGUAAAGAAUCUGCCUGCAAUGCAGGAGACCUGGGUUCAAUCCCUGGAUUGGGAA